GUAGGGAAUCUUCGGCAAUGGGGGCAACCCUGACCGAGCAACGCCGCGUGAGUGAAGAAGGUUUUCGGAUCGUAAAGCUCUGUUGUAAGAGAAGAACGUGUGUGAGAGUGGAAAGUUCACACAGUGACGGUAACUUACCAGAAAGGGACGGCUAACUACGUGCCAGCAGCCGCGGUAAUACGUAGGUCCCGAGCGUUGUCCGGAUUUAUUGGGCGUAAAGCGAGCGCAGGCGGUUUAAUAAGUCUGAAGUUAAAGGCAGUGGCUUAACCAUUGUUCGCUUUGGAAACUGUUAAACUUGAGUGCAGAAGGGGAGAGUGGAAUUCCAUGUGUAGCGGUGAAAUGCGUAGAUAUAUGGAGGAACACCGGUGGCGAAAGCGGCUCUCUGGUCUGUAACUGACGCUGAGGCUCGAAAGCGUGGGGAGCAAACAGGAUUAGAAACCCCGGUAGUCC
rnacentral:rRNA from 1 species